rnacentral:rRNA from 1 species
AUACGUAGGGGGCGAGCGUUGUCCGGAAUGAUUGGGCGUAAAGGGCGCGUAGGCGGCCCGGUAAGUCUGGAGUGAAAGUCCUGUUUUUAAGAUGGGAAUUGCUUUGGAUACUGUCGGGCUUGAGUGCAGGAGAGGUAAGUGGAAUUCCCAGUGUAGCGGUGAAAUGCGUAGAGAUUGGGAGGAACACCAGUGGCGAAGGCGACUUACUGGACUGUAACUGACGCUGAGGCGCGAAAGUGUGGGGAGCAAACAGGACUAGAUACCCUGGUAGUCCACACUGUAAACGAUGAAUGCUAGGUGUAGGGGGUAUCGACCCCUUCUGUGCCGCAGUCAACACAAUAAGCAUUCCGCCUGGGGAGUACGGCCGCAAGGUUGAAACUCAAAUGAAUUGGCGGGG